GACGAACGCUGGCGGCGUGCUUAACACAUGCAAGUCGAACGGAAAGGCCCUGCUUUUGUUGGGUGCUCGAGUGGCGAAAGGGUGAGUAACACGUGAGUAACCUGCCCUUGACUUUGGGAUAACUUCAGGAAACUGGGGCUAAUACCGGAUAGGAGCUCCUGCUGCAGGGUGGGGGUUGGAAAGUUUCGGCGGUUGGGGAUGGACUCGCGGCUUAUCAGCUUGUUGGUGGGGUUGUGGAUUCCCCAGGCUUUGACGGGUAGCCGGCCUGAGAGGGUGACCGGCCACAUUGGGACUGAGAUACGGCCCAGACUCCUACGGGAGGCAGCAGUGGGGAAUAGUGCAAAAUGGGCGGAAGCCUGAUGCAGCAACGCCGCGUGCGGGAUGACGGCCUUCGGGUUGUAAACCGCUUUUGCCUGGGACGAAGCGUGAGUGACGGUAAUGGGUAAAGAAGCACCGGCUAACUACGUG
rnacentral:rRNA from 1 species